AUGAUGGGAAGCCUGUUCUUGUUUAUCGGAAAACAUCUGAGCCCAUGAAUUGCCAGACCCUGGAUACCUGAGACACAUCCACUUGCUUCUCAGGUUUGGAGUGCAUAAUGAGGAGAAAUAAAAACAGAAAGAUCUCCAGAAAGAAGCCAUGGUAAGAUUCAAGGUUUCACAGUCCAAGCUAAUGCCUGUGGACACUUGACCAAGUGAUCUGAGAAAAUUGGAUUUCUGGCAAAACAAGUGUACCUAGACUCAGGCAAGGGUGGAGAACAGAGGGCGACUAGAUUAAAUGGAAAGAAUGCCCAGGCAUCCCAUUGCCUCCCUUUGACGUUCCAGAACUUCAUCAAGACAGUGAUGAGCUACAUGUACACCUGGAGGAGGUAGGUGACUUACAGGAUAUCCUUGU
rnacentral:lncRNA from 1 species